GGGCUUAACUUCGGGCGUGCAGGCGAUACGGGCAUAACUUGAGUGCUGUAGGAGAGACUGGAAUUCCUGGUGUAGCGGUGAAAUGCGCAGAUAUCAGGAGGAACACCGAUGGCGAAGGCAGGUCUCUGGGCAGUUACUGACGCUGAGGAGCGAAAGCAUGGGUAGCGAACAGGAUUAGAUACCCUGGUAGUCCAUGCCGUAAACGGUGGGCGCUAGGUGUAGGGGGCUUCCACGUCUUCUGUGCCGUAGCUAACGCAUUAAGCGCCCCGCCUGGGGAGUACGGCCGCAAGGCUAAAACUCAAAGGAAUUGACGGGGGCCCGCACAAGCGGCGGAGCAUGUGGAUUAAUUCGAUGCAACGCGAAGAACCUUACCUGGGCUUGACAUAUACAGGAUCGGGCUAGAGAUAGUCUUUCCCUUGUGGUCUGUAUACAGGUGGUGCAUGGUUGUCGUCAGCUCGUGUCGUGAGAUGUUGGGUUAAGUCCCGCAACGAGCGCAACCCUUGUCUUAUGUUGCCAGCACGUUAUGGUGGGAACUCAUGAGAGACUGCCGGGGUUAACUCGGAGGAAGGUGGGGAUGACGUCAAAUCAUCAUGCCCCUUAUGUCCAGGGCUUCACACAUGCUACAAUGGUCGAUACAGUGGGCAGCGACAUCGUAAGGUGGAGCGAAUCCCUGAAAGUCGGCCUUAGUUCGGAUUGGGGUCUGCA
rnacentral:rRNA from 1 species